UACGAAGGAUCCAAGCGUUGUCCGGAUUUACUGGGUUUAAAGGGUGCGUAGGCGGGUCUUUAAGUCAGGGGUGAAAUCCUGGAGCUCAACUCCAGAACUGCCUUUGAUACUGAAGAUCUUGAGUUCGGGAGAGGUGAGUGGAACUGCGAGUGUAGAGGUGAAAUUCGUAGAUAUUCGCAAGUACACCAGUGGCGAAGGCGGCUCACUGGCCCGAUACUGACGCUGAGGCACGAAAGCGUGGGGAGCAAACAGG
rnacentral:rRNA from 1 species